rnacentral:rRNA from 1 species
UAAUACGGGAGGCAGCAGUGGGGAAUAUUGCACAAUGGGCGCAAGCCUGAUGCAGCCAUGCCGCGUGUAUGAAGAAGGCCUUCGGGUUGUAAAGUACUUUCAGCAGUGAGGAAGGUGGGUAUGUUAAUAGCAUACUCAUUUGACGUUAGCUGCAGAAGAAGCACCGGCUAACUCCGUGCCAGCAGCCGCGGUAAUACGGAGGGUGCGAGCGUUAAUCGGAAUUACUGGGCGUAAAGCGCAUGCAGGUGGAUGAUUAAGUCAGAUGUGAAAGCCCGGGGCUCAACCUCGGAAUAGCAUUUGAAACUGGUCAUCUAGAGUACUGUAGAGGGGGGUAGAAUUUCAGGUGUAGCGGUGAAAUGCGUAGAGAUCUGAAGGAAUACCGGUGGCGAAGGCGGCCCCCUGGACAGAUACUGACACUCAGAUGCGAAAGCGUGGGGAGCAAACAGGAUUAGAUACCCUGGUAAUCCCCGCCCGUAACGAUGUCUACUUGGAGGUUGUGGCCUUGAGCCGUGGCUUUCGGAGCUAAC